CCGAGUUUACAACUCCCAAACCCCUGUGAACAUACCUAUAUGUUGCCUCGGCGGAUCAGCCCGCGCCCCGUAAAACGGGACGGCCCGCCGCAGGAUCCACAAACUCUGUUUUUAUUGUAACCUCUGAGUAACAAAACAAAUAAAUCA
rnacentral:misc_RNA from 1 species